AAUCUAUGGUAAGGAAAAGCUCUUAAUAAUUCUUUGUAUCUCUCCCAAGCGUCGAAAAGAGAUUCACCAUCCUGUUGUGUGAACCUGGAAAUUUGGUUUCGUAGGAC